rnacentral:rRNA from 1 species
CAGUAGCCGCGGUAAUACGUAGGGUGCGAGCGUUGUCCGGAAUUAUUGGGCGUAAAGAGCUCGUAGGCGGCUUGUCGCGUCGGAUGUGAAAGCCCGGGGCUUAACUCCGGGUCUGCAUUCGAUACGGGCAGGCUGGAGUGUGGUAGGGGAGAUCGGAAUUCCUGGUGUAGCGGUGAAAUGCGCAGAUAUCAGGAGGAACACCGGUGGCGAAGGCGGAUCUCUGGGCCAUUACUGACGCUGAGGAGCGAAAGCGUGGGGAGCGAACAGGAUUAGAUACCCCCGUAGUCCCUGUCUCUUAUAC